rnacentral:hammerhead_ribozyme from 1 species
UAAUUGCUGAGGAGUCCAAGAAUAGGACGAAACAGCCGUCUAGUGC